rnacentral:rRNA from 1 species
CAUAGCGCAGGAAAAGAAACUAACUAGGAUGCCUUCAGUAACGGCGAAGCGAAGCAGGCAUAGCUCAAAUUUGUAAUCUGGCGUCUUUGACGUCCGAGUUGUAUUUUCUAGAAGCGAGUUCGGCGACAGCUCCUACCCAAGUCCGUUGGAACGCGGCGUCAUGGAGGGUGAGAAUCCCGUGAAUGGUAGGAUGUCUGCUGCUAUGUGAACCGCCUUCGAAGAGUCGAGUUGUUUGGGAAUGCAGCUCUAAAUGGGAGGUAAAUUUCUUCUAAAGCUAAAUAUUGGCCAGAGACCGAUAGCGAACAAGUAGAGUGAUCGAAAGAUGAAAAGAACUUUGAAAAGAGAGUUAAACAGUACGUGAAAUUGUUGAAAGGGAAGCGCUUGAGAUCAGACUUCCUGUCUAAAUUGUCCUUGCUUUUGCUUGGAAUCACAGUUUAGGCGUGGAGGCCAGCAUGAGUUUUGACGGCCGGAUAAAGGCUUUGGGAAGGUAGCUCCUCUCGAGGAGUGUUAUAGCCCAGAGUGUAAUACGGCCAGUUGGGACUGAGGACCGCGGCUUUGCCUAGGAUGCUGGCGUAAUGGUCUUAAGCGACCCGUCUUGAAACACGGACCAAGGAGUCUAACAUCUGUGCGAGUGUUUGGGUGGAAAACCCGUGCGCGUAAUGAAAGUGAAUGGAGGUGGGAUCCSCAAGGUGCWCCAUCGMCCGAUCCGGAUUUUUUUGAAGGAUUUGAGUAAGAGCAUAGCUGUUGGGACCCGAAAGAUGGUGAACUAUGCCUGAAUAGGGCGAAGCCAGAGGAAACUCUGGUGGAGGCUCGUAGCGGUUCUGACGUGCAAAUCGAUCGUCGAAUUUGGGUAUAGGGGGCGAAAGACUAAUCGAACCAUCURGUAGCUGGU